rnacentral:rRNA from 1 species
AUUGAACGCUGGCGGCAGGCCUAACACAUGCAAGUCGAGCGGUAGAGAGGUGCUUGCAUCUCUUGAGAGCGGUGGACGGGUGAGUAAUGCCUAGGAAUCUGCCUGGUGGUGGGGGAUAACGUUCGGAAACGGACGCUAAUACCGCAUACGUCCUACGGGNGAAAGCGGGGGGAUCUUCGGACCUCGGCGCCAUUAGAUGAGCCUAGGUCGGAUUAGCUAGUUGGUGAGGUAAUGGCUCGACCAAGGCGACGAUCCGUAACUGGUCUGAGAGGAUGAUCAGUCACACUGGAA